rnacentral:lncRNA from 1 species
GGGGAGACGCAGUGCAACGGCCGCGGUACCUGCGUGAUUCCUCCAGGUGGCGGCGGUGACCUGGUGUGCGAGUGCGCGUUGGGUUACCGCGGCGCGGCCUGCGAGGACACGGUGAACGAGGCGGUGAGCCUGCCGCUGACUCUCGGCGUGCUGGGCGUCAUCGUCGGCCUGGUGAUCCUGGCCUUCAUCGUCGCCAAGAUACGACAGAGAUACAAGGCGAAGCGCAGGAAGGAGUUGGCAGCAAGCCACGGCUACAAUGUGGCCAUGUAACGUGAAUGAUUCUCCAUGAAGGUCAACCGCUCCCGAUCCUCCUUCGGCGCCCAUCAACUUCCAGAGAAGCUCGACGGAGAGACCGAAGAAAAUCGUAUCGUAUUCACCUCUGUAUCUAUUAGCACAAACUCCACGCUGCCUGGUGGCUCCUGCACGGCUCAGCGACCGGCCCCCGACACCAAACCUUCAUCCUGCCGGCGACGCAGCCGACAGGUGGCUGCGUCGGUGCAGACGGCGGGUGGUGCGGGCAGGUGCAGCUGCAGGUGCGGCUGCAGGUGCAAGCAGACCGGGCAGGAAAAUGAGCGCAGCACAGCAUAAACAGAAAGGCAGGACGUCGCUGCUGAGCUGUGUUUCGACAGGCGUUGACUUUCUUGAUUUGACAUUGUUCCAUCGUGUUCACGUGGCUGGCUGGCAGGCGAUAGUUUAAUGGUAUUAAUCAAAUAAAUGAAUAAAAUGGUGUCAGAGCUUAGCUUAGUGUCAACCCUGAUGAUUGAUGCAGCCGUUCUCCAAGCUUCAUUUUUAGGAUGUUUACCCCUUAGUCUUCCCCUCCCCCAAAAAAUCAACUUCUCAUCCUUUUUGUCCGGCUGUUGCCAGGUGGAAGUAUUGCUCAUGAAACAAAUCUCAUUAGACGGGACUAGUGUAAGUGCAGGAAUCUGAUUGGCUGUUGACGAGCGGUGACUCUGAAAAGUUAAAGAGCCCAUGAAAUGGACUUAUACUUUCUUGAUUUGAUGUAUUUCCUGUUGAAACAGGAAGUUUGGGCAGGCCAUGAUGGAGGGAAGGAUCAUUCACAAGUGCAAACCAACAGCAUCUCAGUCAUUUUUAUCUGAAGGGAUGAGGUGGAUGAGUACAGCGGCGUAUUAGGGCCAAUGUUUGAAAAAAAAUUUCAGAGCCAGGGGACGGUAAUAUUCCAAGAAAAAAACUCAGAAUUUCUGAGAUUAGAAUCAUGAAUUUAUGAGAAAAAACUUAGAAAUUUAUGAGGGGAAAAAAAUCGAAUUUCAAUAGAAAAAAGUUUUUUGUGUAAAUUUGAAACUUUAUAAUCUCAGAAUUUUUUCUCUUUUUUUGCCUCAUAAAUGCUUGAGUGUGUAAACUGGCCCUAAUACUCCGUCAUAGGAUAGAGCAGGGGUCUAAAGAUGUCAUUUAAAGAUUUGUGAAGGUUUUACAGGUUGAAAUUUGAUUGACACCCUCUGUGGUGCAGAAUGGUGUCACUUUUUAAGAUGCUCUGUUUUUCAGUAAUUAGAGCUCAUUUCAUGGAGAUUUUAAGGCGUGGGCGUGAUUUCUCAGCCGAUGAGCUCUUCCACCGAGUUUCCCUGGAAGUUCAGCUGCUCUUGAAGUAAACAGAUCUCUGGAGACCGGAUGGACUCGUUUAGAGCUCAUUUCCAUGUAACUCCUGAUAUCGUCAUUUUGAUCAACUAAAUGUCAGACAGGCAGCCGAACUGUUUACAUGAGAGCUCGAGCCUCUGCUGUCGUUUAUAAAUCGGUUACCAGAAUUAAUCUUUCAAUAAAAGUAUGAAAGGGUCCAGCUGCCAGCUCCUGUCUUUCAGUCGGGAUCUGAGUGACAGUUUGGUUUUGGCAGAGCGGAUGUUGCUUUUCUGCCUUUUUUAAGAGGAAGCCUGGAUACCCACCUAACCGGGGAGCGGCUUUAUUUUGAAGUUUUGUCAGUCUGGUCAGCCAAAGCCCCCCCACAGCUUCCUGACUGAGUGUGUGUCACUGAGCGGUGCACGUUUUAGUGGCAUCGAAAUAAUAACCGGAGAAAAAAAAAAGCUGAGUCAGAGUGAGUGGAUGCAUGGGAAGUCUUUCUAAAUAUUAGAGAUGCACCUGAAUCUGAUUUCAGAUUUUCAUAUUUACUCUUCCAAAACAUUUUUCCAAAAGUUCGGCUUUAGAUAAUUCAUAUAAUAUGUGGUCAUUUCCACAAUAACACUCUGCAGUGCACACAUUAUAUUUACAAAACCUCCAUGCUUUUUCUUAUUCUCAGUUGGUUAUGGCCUCGACAUUCAUUCCUCUGUCCAGGCCAGACAGAGGAGUGACAGUCUCACUCCUGUCCUUCUGUUUCUGUCUCGCUCGCUCGCUCGCUCGUGUGAUUUUCGGUUUCACGUCAGGAGCUGCUGUUUGGUGUUUAAGCUUCAGCACAAAACCAGGAGGAAGCCGAACUCACUGAGCGCAGGAACGUCGUCGCCGUUAACAAGAGCUGGGAGGGAAUUUCCUCUCUGAGCCCUGACCGUCUUUCUCUGUGCACCGACUGAAUGAAUUAUUUUUGUAAAUCACUGUAUAGAUAAGCAGGAGCUUUAGCGAACAGCAUAGCUCAUUCUUGAUUUUUCCUGUGUCUUUCUCUUUCCCACGCUCUGUCUCUCCCUCUGCUCGACUAGCGAUCAAAGUUUGGAUUAUUGUGGCCCUGGAUUAUGGAAUAAUCCACGCAGUCAGAAACACACGUGCACGUUGCUUUUAACACAGCGAGCAGCAAUUAGCCUGAAGACUGAUGACAUUCUGACACGUGGAGAUGUGUUUCUGCACACGACAGACACACUUUCUUUUUUUUCUGUCUACAAAGCAAUGUGUUUCGUUACCUUUUAUUCGUCUCUCCAACUGAUUUCCUCCAGGAGAACUGGACCUCAUUUUUUUGUUUUUGUUUGUUGUUGUUGUUUUUUGAAAUUAUAAGGCGACUGCUAAUAAAUUCUGCAGACGGAUGUCAUCAUCAUCAUACGGCAUUGUAUUAGGGUGACUGUAGGGAGCAAAAAAAUUACA